AUUGAACGCUGGCGGCAUGCUUUACACAUGCAAGUCGAACGGUAACAGGUUAAGCUGACGAGUGGCGAACGGGUGAGUAAUGCAUCGGAACGUGCCCGGUCGUGGGGGAUAACGCAGCGAAAGCUGCGCUGAUACCGCAUACGAUCUGAGGAUGAAAGCGGGGGACCGUAAGGCCUCGCGCGAUCGGAGCGGCCGAUGUCAGAUUAGGUAGUUGGUGGGGUAAAGGCUCACCAAGCCGACGAUCUGUAGCUGGUCUGAGAGGACGACCAGCCACACUGGGACUGAGACACUGCCCAGACUCCUACGGGAGGCAGCAGUGGGGAAUUUUGGACAAUGGGCGCAAGCCUGAUCCAGCAAUGCCGCGUGCAGGAAGAAGGCCUUCGGGUUGUAAACUGCUUUUGUACGGAGCGAAAAGGCUCUCUCUAAUACAGGGGGCUCAUGACGGUACCGUAAGAAUAAGCACCGGCUAACUACGUGCCAGCCGCCGCGGUAA
rnacentral:rRNA from 1 species